rnacentral:rRNA from 1 species
AUGUCCGAUGCUGGGUUGAUCCUGGAGUAUGAUUUAGUGAGGCAUGGCCUGGCUGUGUUGGACCCACCUGACAGCCAGCCCGACUACAAGUCCGACGGUGGGUCGUCGUCCUUGGACGACAACAGAUUUAAACUCAUGCUUGCGGAGGAUGGUGGACUGGGAGUUAGUGAAGAAUCGGGUCUGCGCCUCAAACUGUGGACAAGGAAGGCGAGUGACACCACUGAUGCACGAUGGGUACUGAACUGCAUCUUCUGCUUGGAAAAUUUGCUUCCAACUAGCGAUCUCUUGGUCCCGGGUAUAAAUUACAGAGUGGCCGUGCUGGGCUUUACUGAGGAAGCACAAGUCAUUUUCGUUGACACGAUUGAUAGCCUCUUCACACAAUCGAUCUGCAAUUAG